UGGGGAAUAUUGGGCAAUGGAGGCAACUCUGACCCAGCAACGCCGCGUGAGGGAAGAAGGUUUUCGGAUUGUAAACCUCUGUCCUAGGGGACGAAGAAAGUGACGGUACCCUAGGAGGAAGCCCCGGCUAACUACGUGCCAGCAGCCGCGGUAAUACGUAGGGGGCGAGCGUUGUCCGGAAUUACUGGGCGUAAAGGGUGCGUAGGCGGUUUAAUAAGUUAGAUGUGAAAUCCCCGGGCUUAACUUGGGAGUUGCAUUUAAAACUGUUAAACUAGAGUGCAGGAGAGGAAAGCGGAAUUCCUAGUGUAGCGGUGAAAUGCGUAGAUAUUAGGAGGAACACCAGUGGCGAAGGCGGCUUUCUGGACUGUAACUGACGCUGAGGCACGAAAGCGUGGGGAGCGAACAGG
rnacentral:rRNA from 1 species